UACGAAGGGUGCAAGCGUUAAUCGGAAUUACUGGGCGUAAAGCGUGCGUAGGCGGUGAGUUAAGUCUGUUGUGAAAUCCCCCGGGCUCAACCUGGGAAUGGCAAUGGAUACUGGCUCGCUAGAGUGUGAUAGAGGAUGGUGGAAUUCCCGGUGUAGCGGUGAAAUGCGUAGAGAUCGGGAGGAACAUCAGUGGCGAAGGCGGCCAUCUGGAUCAACACUGACGCUGAGGCACGAAAGCGUGGGGGAGCAAACAGG
rnacentral:rRNA from 1 species